CAACAUAUUAGGCAGCAGAAGGAUCAUUUGACAUUUUUUGAUUUGUCUCUGGAGGCUGAGGUGCCCUAAGGAUGAAGACUUUAAUCCUUCAUGGGGUCACUUGCCGGGCAGUGAAAGGAAGGAGUAUAAGUACCAGCAUGUUCUACUAGAUUCAGGAAACUGAUACCCAUGGCUUCUCUUCUGCUCGUUAGACUGGAAGGCAAAAUGCAUGCAGAUUUACAACAUCAAUCCAUUCUACAGGCUGGAAUCAACCUUUCCUUAGACAGGUCAUAUAUUUUGGUUGGACAUUUUUUAGAAUUUGUUUUGAGAUUAUUGAUUCCGUUUUACAAAUAUGAGACAAUGUAUCCCAUCUCUUGGCACUAUCAUUCAAAAUCCUCUUAAAAAGUGACUAUAUUUUUAGC